GCCCUGGUAGCUCAAUUGGUUAGAGCGUCGGACUUUUAUCGGUCUGUACUGAGAGCACAUCCGAAGGCUGCGGGUUCGACCCCCGCCUGGGGCG
rnacentral:tRNA from 1 species